rnacentral:rRNA from 1 species
ACUCUGGGAUAGCCUUUCGAAAGAAAGAUUAAUACCGGAUGGUACUUUUUCAAGGCAUCNNNNNAAANNNAAANAUUUAUUGGUUAUGGAUGGGGAUGCGUUCCAUUANAUAGUUGGUGAGGUAACGGCUCACCAAGUCUUCGAUGGAUAGGGGUUCUGAGAGGAAGGUCCCACACAUUGGUACUGANACACGGACCAAACUCCUACGGGAGGCAGCAGUGAGGAAUAUUGGUCAAUGGGCGAGAGCCUGAACCAGCCAAGUAGCGUGAAGGAUGAAGGUCCUAUGGAUUGUAAACUUCUUUUAUAGUANAAUAAAGUGACCCACGUGUGGGUUUUUGUAUGUAUACUAUGAAUAANGAUCGGCUAACUCCGUGCCAGCANCCGCGGUAAUACGGAGGAUCCGAGCGUUAUCCGGAUUUAUUGGGUUUAAAGGGUGCGUANGCGGAAUAAUAAGUCANUUGUGAAAGUUUGCGGCUCAACCGUAAAAUUGCAGUUGAUACUGUUAUUCUUGAGUGUACAUAAGGUANGCGGAAUUCNUGGUGUANCGGUGAAAUGCUUANAUAUCACNANNAACUCCGAUUG